rnacentral:rRNA from 1 species
GACGAACGCUGGCGGCGUGCCUAAUGCAUGCAAGUCGAGCGACGAAUAGGUGCGGGUAACCAAGCCUAUUACGGAGCGGCGAACGGGUGAGUAACACGUGAGCAACCUGCCCCGAAGACC